AUGAGCUAAAUAUGGGUGUUAUGGUCAGUUGCUAUUCUAUAUAAGUUUCUAGACAACGUAAGUGAUUUGUAGUAAGAUACGGGCGGAGGCCAGCAGUAACUGUUUAACCAGUGUUGGAAGAGGAUGUGUAGACCAGUGUGGUUGACCAGCGGGUGGUAAAUUCUUCACCUGCUACACGUCUCCAACCCAGGGUGUCGACUGGAUAGUCUUCAACUGCCUCCCACCAUGAUAAGCUCCCGAGCCAAUGUUCCCUGUGGCGAAGUGAGGAAGUAGUUUCCUGAAGUAGCAUAUGGCAUGGUAUGGCACCGUUUCUAACCAGCGGCUGGCACCAACUCUGGCAAACGUCGUAGUGGAUGACGCCCAGAUCCUAUGGGGGAAGUCUACAUUAACAUGGAAAAGCUCCCACUUGUGCGAUUUUGAUUGGUGGACUGUGACUUGGUCCUUCAUCUAUUGAAAGAUAUCAAGUUGGCUGGAACAGAUGGUAGUUUUCUACUGUGCCAAUUGUGGGCUGUAUGAAUAGGAGCAACAUCUGCAAAAUUCCAAUCUAGGUGGUAAUGAUUACAAUGGUAUCAAAGCAUUGACUGGCUAAAGAAAUGUGACUGUUCUAUUCUGCCCAUCUGAAGCUGAUUGUGGAGGGUCCUUCCAACAUAACUUCAGGAACAGUGUACAGAACAACUGCCGGAAGUUACAUGCUACAGAAAGUAGCCCGGGUGUCAAAAUUAGAGGGCAAAAAAUAUGGAUUGGGAAGUAGAGAACAUCAUCCUAGAGUUUGAAGGUUGUUUCACACUCGGAAUUGGGUUUUUAUAGACUACAAUGGUAUCCAAGCUUUGACUGGCUUAAGAAGUGUGGCUGUUUUACUCUGCACAUCUAUUAAGCUGGUUGUAGAGGGUCCUUCCAACAAAACUUCAGGAACAGUGUACAGAACAAAUGGCAAAAGUUGUGCUACAGAAAGUAGCACGGUUGAAAGAAUUAAGAUGGGAAAAAAUAUGGAUUGGGACGUCUAGAAUGUCAUCUUGGAGUUUGAAGGUGUUGCUUGUUUGACAUUCAGAAUCAGGUGUUAAUGAAGAUAACUGGUAUCAAAGUAUUGAGGCUGUUCUACUCUGCACAUCUAAUAAACUGGUGGAUGUUGUCCUUGGUACUCUGGAGUUUUCCCUGGCCUUUUGAUGAUCUUUUGGAGUCUUCAGUGGAUUGCAUCUAGGAGGAGCAGCUUCCCACAACCUGAAAUGGACAAUAGUCAACAUUAGAUGUUACACUGUAUACUAUGCAAUAAAUAUUCUAAUGAAACUA